rnacentral:tRNA from 2 species
GGAGAGGUGCGAGAGUGGCUGAAUCGGGCCGCCUGCUAAGCGGUUAGGGAGAGAAAUCUUCCUCGAGGGUUCGAAUCCCUCCCUCUCCGCCA